UAGGGAAUCUUCGGCAAUGGACGAAAGUCUGACCGAGCAACGCCGCGUGAGUGAAGAAGGUUUUCGGAUCGUAAAACUCUGUUGUUAGAGAAGAACAAGGGUGAGAGUAACUGUUCACCCCUUGACGGUAUCUAACCAGAAAGCCACGGCUAACUACGUGCCAA
rnacentral:rRNA from 1 species